GAUGAACGCUGGCGGCGUGCUUAACACAUGCAAGUCGAACGGAAAGGCCCUGCGCUUGUGCGGUUCUCGAUUGGGGAACGCGGGAGUAUCACGUGUGUAUCCUGCCCUUGUCUUUGGGGGAACUUCACGAAACUGGGGCUAAUAUCGGAUAGGAUCUCCUGCUGCAUGGUGGGGGUUGGAAAGUUUCGGCUGUUGGGUAUGGACUCGCUGGUUAUGAGCUGGUUUGUGGGGUAGGUGAUGUCCAAGCGUUUGACGGGUAGCCGGCAUGGGAGGUUGGACAGCCACAUUGGGCCUGCGGUACGGCGCAGACGCGUACGGGAGGCAGCGGUGGGGAGUAUUGCACAGUGGGCCGGCGCCUGAUGCAGCAACGCCGCGUUCGUGAUGACGGCCUUCGGGUUGUAAACAGCUUUCGCCUGUGACGAAGCGUGAGUGACGGUACUGAGUAAAGAAGCACCGGCUAACUACGUG
rnacentral:rRNA from 1 species